UCUUUUUGUAGACCACAUUUGCAAUGCUCCAUCCUAAAUGAGCUAGGAGUUAUCUGAGUUUGCAUCAUCAAGAACUUUGCCCCUUUCCUUUUUCUUGUUUCAAUUUUUAACAAGACGCCAGCCUCUCCUGGCCUGUCUCUGGGACCCAUGCAGGUUUCACGAGGUUCCUCACUCAGUCCACAAAGCUUGCUUACUGCUCUGUGGUUGCCAUGUUGAAGUCCUCAGAAAGUUUACCUUCAGACACCUUUAUGUUAGAUUGACGAGGCCACAGGCAUGAGGGAGGGUUAGGUAGUUUGCAGAUGAUUCCAAAUGCCUUGUGGUGACACACUCUGGUAUGGUGAAAACACAGGGCACAGUCCUCCCCUGGUGAGCGUGUGACAUUGCACCUCAUCAAACCAGAGACAUGAGUUAGUGGUCUGGACUCCCAACCACACUCAAAUCUGCUGGAGAGCUUGAGUUGUAUAAGAAGCCCCAAGGCCUGCAAGCCACUCUCCGAAGCCAGCUGACAAAUCACUGAUUGCUGCCAUCCAGUGACCUUGCGUAGUGCCAGAGACCUUUGCCCUACAUCCAGAGAUUGCCUGCAUUGCCACAGAGCAAGCAGACUUUGGUCACUGGAUGCUAGACAGAGCCAGAAGUCACCGUGCAGCUCACGUAAACUCCUCUCCCAAGUGGGGUUUUUAACUCAUCAUUUUCCUGCCCUUUGAACGGUGAACAAGAAAGUUUUCUUUGACUUAACUUAGGAAAUUAAUCGGAUGAUCUCCUCUCUGUAACCAUACAAAGCAGGAGAGCUGUGCAGCAUCUCUGUGUGUGUCUUCGUCUGCCUGUUCUGUUCACAGAGUCACAGCAUCCAUGGUCACAGCACUCCAGGAGACGCAAAGCAAGCAUUUGCCACAGGUCUAUUCACGACCCAGUGACACCGCCAGUCCUCGGGAACCAGAGCUUGCUUGGGACCUGGGAUCCGUGAAGAAGGCAAUGACGUUCUAGGAAAGAUGGACAAGGAGUUAGCUUACUUCAGCCGGUGCUGGUUCAGCUGCACAGCCGUCUUAGUCAGUGCCCCAAGAGCCUCGUCUGCAAAAGAGACGGUGUUUGCAACUUUUCCCCUCCACCUCGACGGCAAGUGUAAACUCUUCCUUUAAUAAAAAUGGAUGCAUGUAUUUAAAUGUCAUGUACUUUACACACAUCGUUUUAUUUUAAUAUGAGAUCUCAUAAUAAAGCCAAGCCUGGUGGCA